rnacentral:rRNA from 1 species
GACGAACGCUGGCGGCGUGCUUAACACAUGCAAGUCGAACGGUAAGGCCCUUCGGAGUACACGAGUGGCGAACGGGUGAGUAACACGUGGGUGAUCUGCCCUGCACUUCGGGAUAAGCCUGGGAAACUGGGUCUAAUACCGGAUAGGACUCCGGACUGCAUGGUCUGGGGUGGAAAGCUUUUGCGGUGUGGGAUGGGGCCGCGGCCUAUCAGCUUGUUGGUGGGGUGAUGGCCUACCAAGGCGACGACGGGUAGCCGGCCUGAGAGGGUGACCGGCCACACUGGGACUGAGAUACGGCCCAGACUCCUACGGGAGGCAGCAGUGGGGAAUAUUGCACAAUGGGCGCAAGCCUGAUGCAGCGACGCCGCGUGAGGGAUGACGGCCUUCGGGUUGUAAACCUCUUUCAGCAUCGACGAAGCGAAAGUGACGGUAGGUGCAGAAGAAGGACCGGCCAACUACGUGCCAGCCGCCGCGGUAA